GAAACAUAUAUAUUUUGAUGAGUCACUCAAGACUUCUAAACAAUACCUAUUUUAAUGUGUCAGCAAACGAAGAGAUGUAAUUAUAAAAUACCCCUUGUUCCAUUUACAUAUGACAAAUUUUAAAACAAUUCAUAUUUGCAUUUGCAUUUAAGAUGUACUUAGAAACGAUUUUUUUCAACACAUUGCCUAUUUUUGCAUAUAUUACAGAUUUAUUUUAAGCAAUUCACGUUAACAUUGAAGAUACUCUUAGAUAGAGCAAAUCCAACACAUCUUGCCUUUGAAACUGACCGGUCUAACCCUUAUGAUACCUCUAGAACUUGCACAAAGCCGGAGAAUGAAACCAGGGAUCGCAUAUUAACCGCAUAACUCAUACCAAAGCUUUUGUAUACUUAGAAGCUAAUAACUAAAAAUCUCAUAACAAUCUUUAUAAAUAAAGCGAACCCAGCAAGUUGCCUCUUAAGGCAACGCAAUUAUUGACCCAGCACGACCUGCAUUUCCCUGUGAAGUAAACCUAGAAACGAUUUCAUUACAUGGCUAUAAAUUUGGGGAGGGGUUCACUAUACUACUAAGACAAACAAAUGAUAAUAGAAUUUAACUCUUGCUUUCAUCUCCCAUAACACAAGCAACCAAUUUAAGGUCAUUUGACAUAUGAACUUAGCAACAGAAAAACAAUACCGUAGGGCUCAGACGACAAAAGACAAAACAAAUAGACGACACUCGCAUUUAGGUUUAAAAAAAAAAAAAAAACCUUGUUCGAUUGACAAUCAUUUCCUCGCGACUUCCCCUAACUACUCGACCAUACAGGGGAAUGAACUAAACAAGACCACCCUUACCAGCCAUCUCCAUCAACGAUGAAAAUUGCCCUCCACCCCCACCUCCUCCAAAGAAAAACCCCAUCCCCUUUUUUAUUGACCACCAUAGCAUCAAACGACCAGACUGGGCACCUCCUCAACCACAACAGAGUCUGCACAGGACUAGCAGACUCGGUAAGGUGCUCUGACCCGACUUAGACACAACCAGACCUUCACUUGACUCAACCUGAAGAACUGACCCAUCAACCAAACUGAAUGACCUGAAAAUUUACCAGGGAAUUAGUGCUCGGAAAUUUCACUGCAUGAAACAACAUUGGUUUGGGACAUCAAACAGCCCAUUAACUCAAAGCUGAAUGACAGAUGU
rnacentral:lncRNA from 1 species